rnacentral:rRNA from 1 species
GGGACACGUGGUAUCCUGUCUGAAUAUGGGGGGACCAUCCUCCAAGGCUAAAUACUCCUGACUGACCGAUAGUGAACCAGUACCGUGAGGGAAAGGCGAAAAGAACCCCGGCGAGGGGAGUGAAAAAGAACCUGAAACCGUGUACGUACAAGCAGUGGGAGCCUCUUAAUGGGGUGACUGCGUACCUUUUGUAUAAUGGGUCAGCGACUUAUAUUCUGUAGCAAGGUUAACCGAAUAGGGGAGCCGAAGGGAAACCGAGUCUUAACUGGGCGUUAAGUUGCAGGGUAUAGACCCGAAACCCGGUGAUCUAGCCAUGGGCAGGUUGAAGGUUGGGUAACACUAACUGGAGGACCGAACCGACUAAUGUUGAAAAAUUAGCGGAUGACUUGUGGCUGGGGGUGAAAGGCCAAUCAAACCGGGAGAUAGCUGGUUCUCCCCGAAAGCUAUUUAGGUAGCGCCUCGUGAAUUCAUCUCCGGGGGUAGAGCACUGUUUCGGCAAGGGGGUCAUCCCGACUUACCAACCCGAUGCAAACUGCGAAUACCGGAGAAUGUUAUCACGGGAGACACACGGCGGGUGCUAACGUCCGUCGUGAAGAGGGAAACAACCCAGACCGCCAGCUAAGGUCCCAAAGUCAUGGUUAAGUGGGAAACGAUGUGGGAAGGCCCAGACAGCCAGGAUGUUGGCUUAGAAGCAGCCAUCAUUUAAAGAAAGCGUAAUAGCUCACUGGUCGAGUCGGCCUGCGCGGAAGAUGUAACGGGGCUAAACCAUGCACCGAAGCUGCGGCAGCGACGCUUAUGCGUUGUUGGGUAGGGGAGCGUUCUGUAAGCCUGUGAAGGUGUGCUGUGAGGCAUGCUGGAGGUAUCAGAAGUGCGAAUGCUGACAUAAGUAACGAUAAAGCGGGUGAAAAGCCCGCUCGCCGGAAGACCAAGGGUUCCUGUCCAACGUUAAUCGGGGCAGGGUGAGUCGAUCCCUAAGGCGAGGCCGAAAGGCGUAGUCGAUGGGAAACAGGUUAAUAUUCCUGUACUUGGUGUUACUGCGAAGGGGGGACGGAGAAGGCUAUGUUGGCCGGGCGACGGUUGUCCCGGUUUAAGCGUGUAGGCUGGUUUUCCAGGCAAAUCCGGAAAACCAAGGCUGAGGCGUGAUGACGAGGCACUACGGUGCUGAAGCGACAAAUGCCCUGCUUCCAGGAAAAGCCUCUAAGCAUCAGGUAACAUCAAAUCGUACCCCAAACCGACACAGGUGGUCAGGUAGAGAAUACCAAGGCGCUUGAGAGAACUCGGGUGAAGGAACUAGGCAAAAUGGUGCCGUAACUUCGGGAGAAGGCACGCUGAUAUGUAGGUGAAGCGACUUGCUCGUGGAGCUGAAAUCAGUCGAAGAUACCAGCUGGCUGCAACUGUUUAUUAAAAACACAGCACUGUGCAAACACGAAAGUGGACGUAUACGGUGUGACGCCUGCCCGGUGCCGGAAGGUUAAUUGAUGGGGUUAGCGGCAACGCGAAGCUCUUGAUCGAAGCCCCGGUAAACGGCGGCCGUAACUAUAACGGUCCUAAGGUAGCGAAAUUCCUUGUCGGGUAAGUUCCGACCUGCACGAAUGGCGUAAUGAUGGCCAGGCUGUCUCCACCCGAGACUCAGUGAAAUUGAACUCGCUGUGAAGAUGCAGUGUACCCGCGGCAAGACGGAAAGACCCCGUGAACCUUUACUAUAGCUUGACACUGAACAUUGAGCCUUGAUGUGUAGGAUAGGUGGGAGGCUUUGAAGUGUGGACGCCAGUCUGCAUGGAGCCGACCUUGAAAUACCACCCUUUAAUGUUUGAUGUUCUAACGUUGGCCCCUAAUCGGGGUUGCGGACAGUGUCUGGUGGGUAGUUUGACUGGGGCGGUCUCCUCCUAAAGAGUAACGGAGGAGCACGAAGGUUGGCUAAUCCUGGUCGGACAUCAGGAGGUUAGUGCAAUGGCAUAAGCCAGCUUGACUGCGAGCGUGACGGCGCGAGCAGGUGCGAAAGCAGGUCAUAGUGAUCCGGUGGUUCUGAAUGGAAGGGCCAUCGCUCAACGGAUAAAAGGUACUCCGGGGAUAACAGGCUGAUACCGCCCAAGAGUUCAUAUCGACGGCGGUGUUUGGCACCUCGAUGUCGGCUCAUCACAUCCUGGGGCUGAAGUAGGUCCCAAGGGUAUGGCUGUUCGCCAUUUAAAGUGGUACGCGAGCUGGGUUUAGAACGUCGUGAGACAGUUCGGUCCCUAUCUGCCGUGGGCGCUGGAGAACUGAGGGGGGCUGCUCCUAGUACGAGAGGACCGGAGUGGACGCAUCACUGGUGUUCGGGUUGUCAUGCCAAUGGCACUGCCCGGUAGCUAAAUGCGGAAGAGAUAAGUGCUGAAAGCAUCUAAGCACGAAACUUGCCCCGAGAUGAGUUCUCCCUGAGACUUAGAGUCUCCUGAAGGAACGUUGAAGACGACGACG